AGAGGAUCAAUCCUGCUCUGAAUCUCACAGAGUUGGAUGAGCCAUCCACAUACAUCAUCCAAAGUCAUCAUUAGUUUUUGAAGGACCCUCAUCAGUCAAAACAUGUGGCUCAGCCUCUUGCUGUUCAACUAACUCAUCUGGAAUGGUGCACUCGGCCAUAAAGUCAGCUAAGACCUAAACUUUGAUGGAUGGUUGGGGUUGAUA
rnacentral:lncRNA from 1 species